AGCGAACGCUGGCGGCAGGCUUAACACAUGCAAGUCGAGCGGGCACUUCGGUGUCAGCGGCAGACGGGUGAGUAACACGUGGGAACGUACCCUUUGGUUCGGAAUAACGCUGGGAAACUAGCGCUAAUACCGGAUACGCCCUUCUGGGGAAAGGCUUGCUGCCGAAGGAUCGGCCCGCGUCUGAUUAGCUAGUUGGUGGGGUAAUGGCCUACCAAGGCGACGAUCAGUAGCUGGUCUGAGAGGAUGCUCAGCCACACUGGGACUGAGACACGGCCCAGACUCCUACGGGAGGCAGCAGUGGGGAAUAUUGGACCAUGGGCGCAAGCCUGAUCCAGCCAUGCCGCGUGAGUGAUGAAGGCCUUAGGGUUGUAAAGCUCUUUUGUCCGGGACGAUAAUGACGGUACCGGAAGAAUAAGCCCCGGCUAACUUCGUG
rnacentral:rRNA from 1 species